rnacentral:rRNA from 1 species
UACGGGGGGGGCAAGCGUUGUUCGGAAUUAUUGGGCGUAAAGGGCGCGUAGGCGGCUUUGCAAGUGACGGGUGAAAUCCCUCGGCUUAACCGAGGAACUGCCUGUCAGACUGCAUGGCUCGAGACCAGGAGAGGUGAGUGGAAUUCCCAGUGUAGCGGUGAAAUGCGUAGAUAUUGGGAGGAACACCAGUGGCGAAGGCGGCUCACUGGACUGGUACUGACGCUGAUGCGCGAAAGCGUGGGGAGCAAACAGG